CCUCAGUGCCAAAGUCGGUGGGGAUUGAGCCUUUCCCACACCUGAUUUUUGAAUUGUUCACUAAUGGCCAGCAUCUGAGGUUGGUUUCAACGGCUUCCACAGGUUAGAAGUCCACUGUGCGCAGGCUAUGCUAGACAGCUAACUCAGAUACUGAAUUCACUGGUGUCUUGCCCGCGAGUUAGUGAUGAGUCCGAAAAGGGUCCAGUUUGCCUGAAUACUUGUAGUCUCGUUCCAGCACAUUUGAUAGGGGGCCUGCCAGCCUGGGUCCUGAGGGAAAAGGAGUGUCCUUAUUUCUUAAUCUCCGACUUGGUUACCGCCUUAUCGUCACUGACUCCAGCUUUGGCCAG
rnacentral:sRNA from 1 species